UCACAGUAUUCGCCCUAUCCUGUUUGAUGAUUUGUUCAUGAGCUAAUUUGUUCUUAUUGUGGUUCCACUUCUAUUUCUAUCUCGCAGGAUUUUGUUCCAAUGACACGUUGCUGACUAUUUGAGUUUUUGCUCAAUCAGGCAUGUAGUGUCCGCCAUCAUGUAAUUUUAGGACCAAAUUCAGAGAAAACAGUCUCAUUUCUAAGAAGAGCAUCUUGAGAGCCUCCAUCAUGUUCUGGAUAAAGCAGCUGACGAAAUAGUAUGCUGAUCCCGUCCCUUGUUGACGAUGAAUUUGCCUUGAGCACCGCGGUUUCGUCAAUUUGGUUGAGCUUGCUGUCCUCUAGG